rnacentral:rRNA from 1 species
AAUGAACGCUGGCGGCGUGCCUAACACAUGCAAGUCGUACGAGAAAUCCCGAGCUUGCUUGGGAGAGUAAAGUGGCGCACGGGUGAGUAACGCGUGGGUAACCCACCUUCGAAUCUGGGAUAACUCCGCGAAAGCGGUGCUAAUACCGGAUAAGACCACAGCCGUUUCGGCGGCAGAGGUAAAAGCUGACCUCUCCAUGGAAGUUAGCGUUCGAGGACGGGCCCGCGUCCUAUCAGCUUGUUGGUGGGGUAAUGGCCUACCAAGGCAGCGACGGGUAGCUGGUCUGAGAGGAUGAUCAGCCACACUGGAACUGGAACACGGUCCAGACUCCUACGGGAGGCAGCAGUGAGGAAUUUUGCGCAAUGGGGGAAACCCUGACGCAGCAACGCCGCGUGGGUGAAGAAGGCUUUCGGGUCGUAAAGCCCUGUCAGGUGGGAAGAACCGUCUCGAUACUAAUAAUGUCGAAGCCUGACGGUACCACCAGAGGAAGCACCGGCCAACUCCGUG